rnacentral:tRNA from 1 species
UUUAAGUUAGCAAAAGAAAUGCGAAUGAUUUAGAAUCAUUUAUUGAAGUUAUCCUUUACUUCUAA